rnacentral:sRNA from 1 species
UGCACACCCUGCAGGAGCUGGGAGGGAGACAUGGAAGUGCUCAUCAGAGCUCCCCAGGGCCUGCCCCACAGUGAGGCCUCAGCACUGCAGCUUGAUUUUCACCUUUACCAUCUCUUUUAAUCUGUUGAGCUUCUGGAGACAUUUCUCUGCCAAACCAAGACUGGAAACGAUUGAGCUCACCUGUGCACUUUGCAAACUUCGAAGUGCAGCGCACAGGGCAACAGCUGGGCUGCAUUGUAUUCUCAGGCUCCUAUGCCUGGGCCAACUUCACCAUCCUGGCCUUGGGCGUGUGGGCUGUGGCUCAGCGGGACUCCAUCGACGCCAUAAGCAUGUUUCUGGGUGGCUUGCUGGCCACCAUCUUCCUGGACAUCGUGCACAUCAGCAUCUUCUACCCGCGGGUCAGCCUCACGGACACGGGCCGCUUUGGCGUGGGCAUGGCCAUCCUCAGCUUGCUGCUCAAGCCGCUCUCCUGCUGCUUCGUCUACCACAUGUACCGGGAGCGCGGGGGUUUCCUUGGGUCUUCUCAGGACCGUAGUGCCUACCAGACGAUUGACUCAGCAGAGGCGCCCGCAGAUCCCUUUGCAGUCCCAGAGGGCAGGAGUCAAGAUGCCCGAGGGUACUGAAGCCAGCCACGCUGCACCCGGCCCUGCCCCGGGCCUUCCUCGUGCCUGGGAGGUCGUUCUAGGGAUGCUCCUGACCUCCGUCUCUUGGAUCUAAGAUGGAAUGUGUCCCCAGCUCAGGGAUUGCCUGAACCAAGAGGCCAGGAGCCCCCAUGGGCCGCCCAGUACCAUGCACACUCCUGUCCCGAACUCCCUGAGGCCUCCCCUCCCUUCAGGGCACCCACUGGUUCCCAGGCUGGAACCAGGGUCUCUCUUUACCUCCUACCCCAUGGUGGCACCACAGAGGCCCUCAGCCGAGU